rnacentral:lncRNA from 1 species
UUGCAGGUGAAAUUCUGUGCAAGAAAAUGUGAAGUAAAGCAUAAUGGCAAAAGAAUGUUACCUGUGGUUUAAUUUUGUGUGUGUUAACAAAAAAUUCUCAAUCUCUUUUACAGGUCUGUACAGAGAACUCUGAAACAGAAAGCAAGUUAGAAGAUAAUUUCUUUUGAUUGCGUUUUGGGCAUCUGCUGUUCCAAUUGGGCUCUUUUGGAAAGAAGCGUCCAGUGGGAUGAAUGCAAUUGGGGAGUCAAGGCAGAAGGAGUUUGAUACGAUUUGGAGUUCCAGGACUUGCUGAACUCACCCCUGGUGCUUUAGCUUUGGGAACAUUAAAUCCUUGCAGAUUGUUCUCCUACAACCUGUAAUGGCCUCAUGAGAGCUACUACUAGUCAUUUGCACAGCUCCAGUGUUGAGCCAGAAAUCUCCAGGUUUCCUGAGGGCAUCAAUCUCUGGAUUAAUAAGGCAACUUUCCACCAUCUCUUCUGGGAUAUCUGGUUGUGUCAGGGUUUCUCUGGUGGUCAGUUCUGAAGACCAGGCUCCCACCUUUGGCUGCAUCUCCUGUAUUUCACUGCACUCACUGAUGUCCCUGCUCCGUGCACAUCAGAAGACACGCACGCUGAAACUGCCAUGCCUCUUCUAACAUCAGGGAAGAGACCAGGGUACAUCAUGCGUUAGCUCAGCUCUCGUGGGAACAGCAGGAUCAGUUGUUCAGAUGUCUUGAAGCCAUCUGCCAUGGGUACCUGAGGUUGCUGUCUACGCUGGGAGUCUCCCACGGGGAAACAGAAAAUAAAAAUUGUUUUUCACC